UACGAAGGGGGCUAGCGUUGUUCGGAAUUACUGGGCGUAAAGCGCACGUAGGCGGCUUGUUAAGUUAGGGGUGAAAUCCCAGGGCUCAACCCUGGAACUGCCUUUAAUACUGGCAAUCUCGAGUCCGAGAGAGGUGAGUGGAAUUCCGAGUGUAGAGGUGAAAUUCGUAGAUAUUCGGAGGAACACCAGUGGCGAAGGCGGCUCACUGGCUCGGUACUGACGCUGAGGUGCGAAAGCAUGGGGAGCGAACAGG
rnacentral:rRNA from 1 species